AGAAAAAAAAAUCUGAUUUCCUAUGCUUCCUUACAGGGCUUGUAACUCAUUCAAUUUUUAACCAAAUCAAGAGUUUUUAUAGUCUAAAAUUAUCUACAAAACCUAAAUAAAAUGAAGGAAAAAUAAUAAUAUCAAUGUCACUUCAAAUUCGUGAGAUAUAAACAUUUAAAAAAAAGUUAGAUUGCGAUUUAUUACUCAAACAGAAAAAAAAGCCGGUCCGGUUCGGUUCCUGGUUUUGGGCCGGGUCCAAUGACCGGUUCCUACCGGUUCUCGGUUCCAAAAAUCCAUAAGAAUAUCGUCCUGGUCCCAGCCCGAUCGGUUCUAUCCGGUUUCGGUCGGUUCCCCAAUCCAAAUGCUCUUCCCUAAGCCGAACCACCAUCUGCUAAUAAGAAAUCAUCAACCCAUUUAUGAACCGUUACCUUGAACCUGAUUUCUCAAAACCAAAAUUGACUAUUUACGAACCGUAUUUACCGAGAUCAAUUUCUUAUGGCGAUGGCUAGGUUGGAUGUUGCGAAGUUUAAAAGGUAUGUGGAGAGAGCAAGAAUGGAUGAUGAGAGGAAGAAGCUAUUGGCGGGCUUUCAUGAUAUAAGCUCAAGUCAAGCUCUGACUAGAAAAAAGAUUCAACAGCUUUAAAGUCUCAAAAGUAGUAUUAAUUGUAAACAAUGAUAAGUAAAGAAAAAAUUUAUAAAACUUGACUAGAACACAUUCUAGUCAUGUUUAAGUUUGAAUAACAAAAUGAAAAACCACUUCAAUUACAUCAGAUGAAAAUUCAAAUCGACGUUUUUUAGGCUUAAAGUUUCUUUUUAAUAUUAGAACUUGAUAAAAUUUGAAACAAAAGAACGAAUAACUGGACUUAAAUACGUAUUAUAUAUACAAUUAAAUCACAUAACCCUAAAUAGUAUAGUUUCUAUUCUUCAAAGUUUUGUAUAGAAUUAACACUUUGUCAUUUUUGGUCAUUUCCCAAAAUUUUCAAAGUUUUGCCACAAAAGCUUAGGGUGCGUUUGGUUGUGAAAAACUGUUUUCAUUUUCUAAGAAAAUGUUUUUAGAAAAUAGAGUUGAGUUUUCGUUUUCAAAUUUCAAUGAAAAUUUUAGAAAACGCGUUUGGUUGAAACCGGGGGAGUUUUCAUUUUCCAUCUUAAAAAUUUGGAAAACUUUGGAAAACUGUAAAAAUCACUUUUCUAAUUUACAUACAAUUUGGAAAACUGAAAAUUUUCAUUUUUUUGGAAAAUUUUGGAAAAAUGAAUGAACCAAACACGUUUUCAAAAUUUCCGUUUUUCUUGAAAAAUUUUCCUAGAAAACUGGAAAAUUUUCCACAACCAAACGCACCUUUAGGGUGCUUGUAGAAUUUCUUUUAGUUUUCUAGGAAAAUUUUCCAAGAAAAACGGAAAUUUUGAAAACGCGUUUGGUUCGUUCAGUUUUCCAAAAUUUUCCAAGAAAAUGAAAAUUUCCAGUUUUCUAAGUUUUAUGUAAAUUGGAAAAAUGAUUUUUACAGUUUUCCAAAAUUCUAAAAUGAAAAAUAAAAACUCUCCCGGUUUCAACCAAACGCGUUUUCUAAAAUUUUCACUGAAAAUUGAAAAUGAAAACUCAACUCUAUUUUCUGAAAACAUUUUCUUAGAAAAUGAAGUGCAUUUUGUUGUGGAAAAUUUUCCAGUUUUCUAGGAAAAAUUUCCAAGAAAAACGAAAAUUUUGAAAAAACGUUUGGUUUGUUCAGUAUUCCAAAGUUUUCUAAGAAAAUGAAAAUUUUCAGUUUUCCAAAUUGUAUGUAAAUUAGAAAAGUGAUUUUUACAGUUUUUCAAAUUUCUAAGAUGGAAAAUGAAAACUCUACCCAUUCCAACCAAACGUUUUUUCAUUGAAAAUUGAAAAUGAAAACUCAACUCUAUUUUCUGAAAAUAUUUUCAUAGAAAAUAAAAACAGUUUUCCAUAACCAAACGAAGCUUAACACUUUAUCAUUUUUGAUUCAUCCUUAAUUUUUUUACCACAUUAGUUCGUGGAGUUCACACUUUUAGUCCCCUAGCUUCGAUAUUCUUUAUUGCUAUCUACAAAAGUUUCAAGAGUCUACUACUUUUCGUCCCUAAGAUUUACUAAAUGUAACACCUUAAGUUUUGCCACUAGCUUCGAUAUUCUCUAUUGCUAGCUACAAAUGUUUCAAGAGUUUGCCACUUUUCGUUCCUAAGAUUUACUAAGACUGAAAGGAGUGGGAGUCGUUACCCCACUCGCUAAGCACGCUAGGAAGACUUGAGCACCGCCCCCUAGCGCUCGCUAGGGGGUCGCUAACAUUCGCUCGCUGCAUCUUUGACGAGAAGAGAGAGAAUUGGACGCACGAAUCUGAUUGGUUGAAGGGGUUGGACCAGAUUGCUUAAAGCCUUUACCAAAUUCAAUUUAACUCAUAAAUUUAAGGCUAUAAAAAUCAGAAGGAAAACUUACAGCCGAGCUUCUGUGAGGCAUGGUGAGAAUUCUAGAGAGAGAGAGAGGGGGGGAGAGGCGGUGGGAGGUAGAGAGAAAAUAUAUAGAUGAAAAUGCUAUUACGUCAAAA
rnacentral:lncRNA from 1 species